rnacentral:rRNA from 1 species
CCCYUUUUUUCAGGGUUUGCGUGCUGGAUGCAUACCGCACAUAACGGGAACCUGGAGAACUGAAACAUCUAAGUACCCACAGGAAAUUCCAUCAGCCGAGAUUCCGUCACUAGCGGCAAGCGAAAGCGGAACACUCCACUUACUAAAUCGUUUUUGGCUUUAAUAGAAUGUUCUGGAAAGUUCUGCCAUAGUACGUGAUAUCCCCUUAUGUAAGAAGGCUAAUAAUGUGACUAACAAUGAGUUGGGGGGGACAUCCUAAAUCUUGACUGACUAUGGGGGGACCAUCCUCCAAGGAUAACUACUCCUUACUGACCGAUAGAGACCUAGUACCGGAAGGGAAAGGUAACCAGAACCCCGAUGAGGGGAAUGAAAUAGAACCUGAAACCGUAUGCGUACAAGCAGUCAAAGCAUUUUUUCGAAAAUGAGAUGGCGUACCUUUUGUAUAAUGGGUCAGCAACUUACUUGAUGUAGAAAGCUUAACCGUAUAGGGGAGGCGUAAGGAAACUGAGUCUGAAAUAGGCGUUUAGUUGCAACRAGUCGACCCGAAACCGAGCGA